CCUACGGGGGGCAGCAGUGGGGAAUAUUGGACAAUGGGGGCAACCCUGAUCCAGCCAUGCCGCGUGUGUGAAGAAGGCCCUCGGGUUGUAAAGCACUUUCAGUGAGGAAGAACGCCUGGUGGUUAAUACCCAUCAGGAAAGACAUCACUCACAGAAGAAGCACCGGCUAACUCCGUGCCAGCAGCCGCGGUAAUACGGAGGGUGCGAGCGUUAAUCGGAAUUACUGGGCGUAAAGCGCGCGUAGGUGGCUUGAUAAGCCGGUUGUGAAAGCCCCGGGCUCAACCUGGGAACGGCAUCCGGAACUGUCAAGCUAGAGUGCAGGAGAGGAAGGUAGAAUUCCCGGUUUAGCGGUGAAAUGCGUAGAGAUCGGGAGGAAUACCAGUGGCGAAGGCGGCCUUCUGGACUGACACUGACACUGAGGUGCGAAAGCGUGGGUAGCAAACAGGAUUAGAUACCCUUGUAGUC
rnacentral:rRNA from 1 species